AUUGAACGCUGGCGGCAGGCCUAACACAUGCAAGUCGAGCGGUAGAGAGAAGCUUGCUUCUCUUGAGAGCGGCGGACGGGUGAGUAAUGCCUAGGAAUCUGCCUGGUAGUGGGGGAUAACGUUCGGAAACGGACGCUAAUACCGCAUACGUCCUACGGGAGAAAGCAGGGGACCUUCGGGCCUUGCGCUAUCAGAUGAGCCUAGGUCGGAUUAGCUAGUUGGUGAGGUAAUGGCUCACCAAGGCGACGAUCCGUAACUGGUCUGGAGAGGAUGAUCAGUCACACGUAGGAACUGAGACGACGGUCCAGACCUCCGUACGGGAGGCUCG
rnacentral:rRNA from 1 species